rnacentral:rRNA from 1 species
UACGAAGGGGGCUAGCGUUGUUCGGAUUUACUGGGCGUAAAGCGCGUGUAGGCGGCUUUGCAAGUCGGAUGUGAAAGCCCACGGCUCAACCGUGGAAGUGCAUCCGAAACUGCAUGGCUGGAGUCUCGGAGAGGAAGGUGGAAUGCUUGGUGUAGAGGUGAAAUUCGUAGAUAUCAGGAGGAACACCUGCGGUGUAGACGGCUUUCUGGACCAUUGUUGACGCUGAGACACGAAAGCGUGGGUAGCAAACAGG